GGUUAGAGCAGGUGUCACCCCAACGGACCGCGGUCCAAGCGGGCGGCGGUAGUGCAGUGUGUGCGGGGGGCAAGCGCAAACGCCCAAGCGAGAUUACCUGGAAAGGAGGGUGAGGAAAGCAAAGAAAACGAUGAGCAUAAGCAACUGGAAGAUGAGCUCUUCCCCCUGAAUAAUCCAGUGGUCAAAGCAAGCACGAAGUAUUUGAGAAAGUUUGCUUCAGUUCUUCCCACUAGCAGAAGAGACUGGAAUCUGUAGCUCCCACUUCUUACACUUUUCAGCAGGCUAAAGGAUAUAUAUGGGUGGGGUAGAGAUCUUUUAAUUAUUUUUGCUGAUUGUAUAUUUUGUAUAAUUAAUAAAAUAUUCUCUGUUUUAAA